GAAAUAGUGUAUAAAAAUAAGUUUCUAACUUAAUUCUUAAGCGGUGAAAAUCUGUUUCUAUUUCU
rnacentral:tRNA from 1 species